UACGUAGGGUGCGAGCGUUGUCCGGAAUUAUUGGGCGUAAAGGGCUCGUAGGCGGUCUGUCACGUCGGGAGUGAAAACUCGGGGCUUAACCCCGAGCCUGCUUCCGAUACGGGCAGACUAGAGGUAUGCAGGGGAGAACGGAAUUCCUGGUGUAGCGGUGAAAUGCGCAGAUAUCAGGAGGAACACCGGUGGCGAAGGCGGUUCUCUAGGCAUUACCUGACGCUGAGGAGCGAAAGUGUGGGGAGCGAACAGG
rnacentral:rRNA from 1 species